UGUAUAAUGGGUCAGCGACUUAUAUUCUGUAGCAAGGUUAACCGAAUAGGGGAGCCGAAGGGAAACCGAGUCUUAACUGGGCGUUAAGUUGCAGGGUAUAGACCCGAAACCCGGUGAUCUAGCCAUGGGCAGGUUGAAGGUUGGGUAACACUAACUGGAGGACCGAACCGACUAAUGUUGAAAAAUUAGCGGAUGACUUGUGGCUGGGGGUGAAAGGCCAAUCAAACCGGGAGAUAGCUGGUUCUCCCCGAAAGCUAUUUAGGUAGCGCCUCGUGAAUUCAUCUCCGGGGGUAGAGCACUGUUUCGGCAAGGGGGUCAUCCCGACUUACCAACCCGAUGCAAACUGCGAAUACCGGAGAAUGUUAUCACGGGAGACACACGGCGGGUGCUAACGUCCGUCGUGAAGAGGGAAACAACCCAGACCGCCAGCUAAGGUCCCAAAGUCAUGGUUAAGUGGGAAACGAUGUGGGAAGGCCCAGACAGCCAGGAUGUUGGCUUAGAAGCAGCCAUCAUUUAAAGAAAGCGUAAUAGCUCACUGGUCGAGUCGGCCUGCGCGGAAGAUGUAACGGGGCUAAACCAUGCACCGAAGCUGCGGCAGCGACACUAUGUGUUGUUGGGUAGGGGAGCGUUCUGUAAGCCUGUGAAGGUGGCCUGUGAGGGUUGCUGGAGGUAUCAGAAGUGCGAAUGCUGACAUAAGUAACGAUAAAGCGGGUGAAAAGCCCGCUCGCCGGAAGACCAAGGGUUCCUGUCCAACGUUAAUCGGGGCAGGGUGAGUCGACCCCUAAGGCGAGGCCGAAAGGCGUAGUCGAUGGGAAACAGGUUAAUAUUCCUGUACUUGGUGUUACUGCGAAGGGGGGACGGAGAAGGCUAUGUUGGCCGGGCGACGGUUGUCCCGGUUUAAGCGUGUAGGCUGGUUUUCCAGGCAAAUCCGGAAAAUCAAGGCUGAGGCGUGAUGAC
rnacentral:rRNA from 1 species